GAAACUCAAACCCGCCGCCCUCUCACUCGAGCUAAGCUGAAGUGAUUCAGCAUAGUGCUGGUUUGGAUUUUGGUGGCUCUGGAGUGCAUUUUAUGGGUGUGAAGAGAAUUUAGAGAUGACACUGUUUCAGACACUGCCCCAGCAACUAGGGACAACCAAGACACCGUGUCUGGAGAUGAGCCACCCAGUGACACCACCACCAAACCCCCCUACUUAACAGACCCUCCCUCCACCAUCGACUAUGAUGAUGCCACAGAAGUUUUCAAUGAAGAGGAAGGGGCCAUGGGGCCAGGGGCCAUCACAGCCAUAGUUAUAGCAGUCUUCCUGGGAGCAUCUGUCCUCCUCGCUCUCAUCGUCAUCACACUCAGGAAGUUCACCGCCUCCUAGAUGAAACACAUAUGGUUUAUAUGUGUGUGUGCAUGUGUGUGCGUGUGUGUGUGUGUGUGUGUGUGUGUGUGUGUGUUGGUAAACCAUGACAUGUCAGUGUUUCUCUGUUGCUUCUCAGUUCCAUCUUUCAACUCCAGGCUCGACCUUUGUGUAAAACGUGUCUUUUGCUUUGCUGAAAAUUUUGGCAGGCUCCUUAUCUGACUAUGUGCAGAUUUCCUAAAUACUCAAAUUGUUGCUCAACACGUCCACUUGUUGCUGAAGAAACUAUCUUAGAGACUGGCUGGCUCUUCCAGUACAAUGCUGUAGCAUAUUUGUCACUUGUGGGGUUUUUUUUUUUUUUUUUACACAUGUUGUUUUCCAGUCAUUUCAGUUUUUCGCCUUUCUUCAAUACAUGAUUUUGCUUCUAUGUUAGCAGGAAGCGUUUGUGGUUUUGUUUGUCUGUGUCUUACUUUUCCAAUCAGUGAGAAAUAUAUUUGAAUUUUUUUUAGUCGUACAUGGAAGGCUUUUAUUGGUCUUUCUCAGUAACUGUACCUGAAUCAUUUUCAAAAAUAUUUCCAAGGUGUCACCGUGCAGAAGUUUUCAAGUUUGUAUUAAACCAUUAACAAACAUUUGUAGAGUCAAAUUAAGAGGAGAACAUCUUUAAAAGGGGCUUUUUCAAUGAAAGUAAACAGCCGUGUUGUUUGUACCUGCAGAGCAAAUAUGCAGUUAGUGCUUGGAUGAAUGUGCCUUUUGUCUUUGCAUGUUUGUGUGGGGUUUUUUGUCUCUCUUUUUUUGCAGGGGGAAAAUUACUAUAGUAUGUAAUAUUUUUCUGUACAACCCAGAGUCCUCAGUCAUACAGCUGGAUGCUGCCAUUUUAUCAUCAAGUCAA